GACGAACGCUGGCGGCGUGCCUAAUACAUGCAAGUCGAACGAACCGCGACUGAGUGCUUGCACUUGGUCAAGGUGAGUGGCGAACGGGUGAGUAACACGUGGGUAACCUACCUCAUAGUGGGGGAUAACAGUCGGAAACGACUGCUAAUACCGCAUAGGACAUGGAAUCACAUGAUUCUGUGAGGAAAGGUGGCGCAAGCUAUCGCUAAGAGAUGGACCCGCGGUGCAUUAGCUAGUUGGUAGGGUAAGGGCCUACCAAGGCGAUGAUGCAUAGCCGACCUGAGAGGGUGAUCGGCCACAUUGGGACUGAGACACGGCCCAAACUCCUACGGGAGGCAGUAGUAGGGAAUCUUCCGCAAUGGACGCAAGUCUGACGGAGCAACGCCGCGUGAGUGAAGAAGGUCUUCGGAUCGUAAAGCUCUGUUGUUAGAGAAGAACAGCGCAUAGAGUAACUGUUAUGCGUGUGACGGUAUCUAACCAGAAAGCCACGGCUAACUACGUG
rnacentral:rRNA from 1 species